rnacentral:misc_RNA from 1 species
AACAGACCUUGGAAAAGGAGGUUCAGCAAGCCAAUGCAUCUCUUGUACUUUACGAGAUGAAAGCUGCUAGAAUUGAAGACCAGUUGAGAGGUUGCUCGGAUCAUAUUCAGAAAAUUGAAGACGACAAGUUACGUGACACAGAUACUCUAGAAAACACUCAAAAAAGAUUAUUGGAUGUUAGAAUAGCAUCUCAGCAAACAAGGGAGUCACUUGAUCAAUCUCAAUCUAAAGUUGAAGAAAGUCGAACAACUCAAGCAGAGCUGCAGAUAGAAUUAGAAAAAGAAAGGUUUGAGAAGAAAAGAAUUGAAG